GCACUGAUGGUGUAAAUGGUCAGCAUUGCUGCUGUCAUGGCAGCCGGUCUGGGUUCAAAUCCCAGUCAGUGCA